rnacentral:rRNA from 2 species
AUGCAGUCGAACGAUGAACCACUUCGGUGGGGAUUAGUGGCGAACGGGUGAGUAACACGUGGGCAAUCUGCCCUGCACUCUGGGACAAGCCCUGGAAACGGGGUCUAAUACCGGAUACUGACCCGCUUGGGCAUCCAAGCGGUUCGAAAGCUCCGGCGGUGCAGGAUGAGCCCGCGGCCUAUCAGCUUGUUGGUGAGGUAAUGGCUCACCAAGGCGACGACGGGUAGCCGGCCUGAGAGGGCGACCGGCCACACUGGGACUGAGACACGGCCCAGACUCCUACGGGAGGCAGCAGUGGGGAAUAUUGCACAAUGGGCGAAAGCCUGAUGCAGCGACGCCGCGUGAGGGAUGACGGCCUUCGGGUUGUAAACCUCUUUCAGCAGGGAAGAAGCGAAAGUGACGGUACCUGCAGAAGAAGCGCCGGCUAACUACGUGCCAGCAGCCGCGGUAAUACGUAGGGCGCGAGCGUUGUCCGGAAUUAUUGGGCGUAAAGAGCUCGUAGGCGGCUUGUCACGUCGGUUGUGAAAGCCCGGGGCUUAACCCCGGGUCUGCAGUCGAUACGGGCAGGCUAGAGUUCGGUAGGGGAGAUCGGGAAUUCCUGGUGUAGCGGUGAAAUGCGCAGAUAUCAUGAGGAACACCGGUGGGCGAAGGCGGAUCUCUGGGCCGAUACUGACGCUGAGGAGCGAAAAGCGUGGGGAGCGAACAGGAUUAGAUACCCUGGUAGUCCACGCCCGUAAACGGUGGGCACUAGGUGUGGGCGGCAUUCCACGUUCUUCCGUGCCGCAACUAACGCAUUAAGGGCCCGCCUGGGGAGUACGGCCGCAGCUAAAACUCAAGGAUGUGACGGG